UACGUAGGUGACAAGCGUUGUCCGGAUUUACUGGGCGUAAAGAGCGCGCAGGCGGUCGUUCAAGUCGAGUGUGAAAGCCCCCGGCUCAACUGGGGAGGGUCAUUCGAUACUGAUCGACUCGAAGGCAGGAGAGAGAAGUGGAAUUCCCGGUGUAGUGGUGAAAUGCGUAGAUAUCGGGAGGAACACCAGUGGCGAAGGCGACUUCCUGGCCUGUUCUUGACGCUGAGGCGCGAAAGCUAGGGGAGCAAACGGG
rnacentral:rRNA from 1 species